UUGAAGAAUUGAGGAAUUCUGUGAAACUCAGAAUCUGUGCCGCAACGGUUAUAGACCGGAACUCAACUUCUCCGACAUCCGCCGGCUGGCGGAGGCGGAAAAAUCCCGAGCAGGAAAAAGAUA
rnacentral:ncRNA from 31 species